UAAGCAAAAACUUUAAAAUCGCAUGCUUAAUGUCUAGAAAUCACGUUGCACACAUCAUCCUAAUGGUGUAUGACAUCAUCGUCAGGGUGAUUUUAAAAUACAAUCAAAGAUUUGAAUACGAUAACUCAAUUCGACAAAUACAAUGUAAGAGAAAACAAACCUUCGAACAAUCUCUUGGGAACCAAGUGACGUGGGCAUAUUAUUCUAAUAGAAUUUUUACUGUGAUAAUUUAAUCUGAAAUUUUUUAGAAAAGAAAACAGUUAUUAACAGCAACAAUAAAAAGAAAAUAUUUUUAUUUAAAUGAUCACAAUUUAUUACCAUUCGUUAACUUGAUAUUUUCUGAAGCUACGUCAUCCUUAACGAUAUUGUUCAUCGAC
rnacentral:lncRNA from 1 species